rnacentral:rRNA from 1 species
AUUGAACGCUGGCGGCAGGCUUAACACAUGCAAGUCGAACGAGUGGAGGACGGGUGAGUAAUGCUUGGGAAUCUAGCUUAUGGAGGGGGAUACCUACGGGAAACUGUAGCUAAUACCGCGUACCAUAGGAUGAGCCCAAGUGGGAUUAGGUAGUUGGUGUGGUAAAGGCUCCCCAAGCCGACGCUCGUUAGCUGGUCUGAGAGGAGGACCAGCCACACUGGGACUGAGACACGGCCCAGACUCCUACGGGAGGCAGCAGUGGGGAAGUUUGCGCAAUGGGGGCAACCUGACCCAGCCAUGCCGCGUGAAUGAAGAAGGCCGUCGGGUUGUAAAGUUCUUUCGUUAGCGAGGCGUUAACUACAGAAGAAGCACCGGCUAACUCCGUGCCAGCAGCCGCGGUAAUUC